rnacentral:pre_miRNA from 1 species
CAUGCAUCAGUGGGGUCCCUUGGCCUGGCCUGCACCCUCUCGCAAUUCGGGACCACUUGGGGGAUGUUGGAGAGCCGGUUUUGGCCUGAUCCUGCAGGCCAGGCUGAGGGACCCCACUGGUGCAUG